rfam:Anaerosporobacter mobilis DSM 15930 genome assembly, contig: EJ17DRAFT_scaffold00002.2
UAGUGUAGCACGUAUAGUACUUCUUAGUGUGUACUCAGAAACCAAGGAAGGCGAGGCAUGGAUGCCGAGCCAGCCUGAGCUGCGGCAGGAUGCCACAUCGAUGGCGGUUCCGCAAAAUUGGUGCAUGUGGUGUACACACAUAGAAGUACUUAGGUGCGUAACGU